GGAUGCUGGGAAUUGAACCCAGGUUUUCUGGAAGAGCAGUUAUUAUAAAUGAUGCUAUCAUGAAGAAAGAAAAGCGCAUUUUCACCCUGUGUUUUGUGGAGAUAAAACCAGUUCUGUCCAGCCAUCCUUCUGUAUGCAGGAAACACAGGGACAAAAAAACGGAGCAGAGACUGAAGGA